rnacentral:rRNA from 1 species
CCUACGGGAGGCAGCAGUGAGGAAUAUUGGUCAAUGGGCGUAAGCCUGAACCAGCGAAGUCGCGUGAGGGAUGAAGGUUCUAUGGAUCGUAAACCUCUUUUAUAAGGGAAUAAAGGGUGGGACGUGUCCUAUUUUGUAUGUACCUUAUGAAUAAGGCUCGGCUAACUCCGUGCCAGCAGCCGCGGUAAUACGGAGGAACCGAGCGUUAUCCGGAUUUAUUGGGUUUAAAGGGUGCGUAGGCGGCCUUUUAAGUAAGCGGUGAAAGUCUGUGGCUCAACCAUAGAAUUGCCGUUGAAACUGGGGGGCUUGAGUAUGUGUGAGGCAGGCGGAAUGCGUGGUGUAGCGGUGAAAUGCUUAGAUAUCACGCAGAACCCCGAUUGCGAAGGCAGCCUGCCAAGCCAUGACUGACGCUGAUGCACGAAAGCGUGGGGAUCAAACAGGAUUAGAUACCCUAGUAGUC